AUACGUAGGUGGCAAGCAUUGUCCGGAUUUACUGGGCGUAAAGCGCGUGCAGGCGGGUGGACAAGUCUGAUGUGAAAGCCCCGGGCUCAACCUGGGAAGUGCAUUGGAAACUGUUCAUCUUGAGUGCUGGAGAGGAAGGGGGAAUUCCCGGUGUAGAGGUGAAAUGCGUAGAUAUAUGGAGGAACACCAGUGGCGAAGGCGACUCUCUGGUCUGUAACUGACGCUGAGGCUCGAAAGCGUGGGGAGC
rnacentral:rRNA from 1 species